UUUUGAGUUAUUUGGGGUUGAAGUAAUAUAGCUGUGAUGUUUCAAAGGUUGGAAGAAAAGAAAAAAAAUAUAAAAAGAAAAAGAAAGAAAAAAAAAAGAGAAAAAAAAUUGGAAAAAGAAAGAAAGAAGAAAACUCUUGUCCUUAUUGUAUUCCUUCUGAAAGAAAAAAAAGUAUAAAAAAAAGAAAAAGAAAGAAGAGAAGAGAGAAUGCAAAAGUGUUGUCUGAAAGUGAGUGAAAUAUUUUUAGUUCAACUCACAUAACUCUUUUAAAUUUUCUUUUGACUCUUUAAAUUUUAGCCUAGAACCCCCUUAUGACUU
rnacentral:lncRNA from 1 species